GGGGGAGUGAAGAGCUGAAUAAAACACAGUGCUCAAAAACAAGCUUGGUAAAAAAUACAGCCUAUGCAACUUCCAGAGGGAGUCAUGCCAGAGCAGAGCUGGCUACUCCAAAGGUCUCAAGUGUCUCAGUACAACACCCUAGUUUUUAACACAAAUGACCUGGAAGCAGUGAAGUCAAGUUAUUUGAAAAAAUGUCUCCUAAUUUCGCUUUGUUUUGUGACAUCCAAGUGCUUUGGUUGGAUAAAUUUGUCGUGUAUUCAGAGUUUUCCACUCUGUGUAACAACCUGGCAAAACACCUAAAAAGCCAAAAUGCAAACUAGCACCCAGGGUGAUCUGAUCAGUGUCCUGAGCCUUAGCUUGGCACCCUGGACUUUUGGUGGUAUGGAAGCACCACCUACCAGGUCUGUAUUCCUCCUGUCCCUUUCGUCUACCUUGAACAAAACACUGGUGCAGCUGCUGCUACUGCUUGCUGCCUAGGGAAAAAAUGAGGAUCAAAGACAGGAUUCUAGGCAUUGCUCUGCAAAGAAGCCAGACUGAAGUCCAUGACUGAGACUGAAAGAGGAGCACAGUUACCAUCCAUGUCAUUUUGACAGGCGCUAUCUGGAGCAGUGUGAAACUGGGGAUGCUACAGGCACAGCACACUGGAUCAUACUGCUGCCUGGCAAAGGUCACUGCAGAUGCCAGUUAAACUGUGUGGACCACCACAGCAAAGAAGAAAACAGAAUGUGAUCCUGCAUCACAACAGUCUUUAACUGUAUGUGCCCAGAGGAGCAGAGAUGUACCUAAGAGGUAGGCAAGAAGAAACUGGCAGAUGUGGUAUAUCUGAAGUCCACAAAAAUCUUCACUAUCCUAUUCCCCAUCAAAAUUAAGUCACUGGGGGAGCUGGUGAGACAAUGAACUGUGAAGUGACAAUGGUUUGUAAAUUAGUCUAUACUCUGUAUCUCUCAUAUGUCAAUGAAAACAGCAC